CCUACGGGUGGCAGCAGUGGGGAAUAUUGCACAAUGGGCGAAAGCCUGAUGCAGCAACGCCGCGUGAAGGAAGAAGGGUUUCGGCUCGUAAACUUCUUUGACAGGGGAAGAGCAGAAGACGGUACCCUGAAAACAAGCCACGGCUAACUACGUGCCAGCAGCCGCGGUAAUACGUAGGUGGCAAGCGUUGUCCGGAUUUACUGGGUGUAAAGGGCGUGUAGCCGGGAAGGCAAGUCAGAUGUGAAAUCUGGAGGCUCAACCUCCAAAUUGCAUUUGAAACUGUUUUUCUUGAGUACUGGAGAGGCAGACGGAAUUCCUUGUGUAGCGGUGAAAUGCGUAGAUAUAAGGAGGAACACCAGUGGCGAAGGCGGUCUGCUGGACAGCAACUGACGGUGAGGCGCGAAAGCGUGGGGAGCAAACAGGAUUAGAUACCCGAGUAGUC
rnacentral:rRNA from 1 species